GGGACAGUAGCUCAACUGGUUAGAGCGUCGGUCUCCAAAACCGAAGGCUCGGGGUUCGAUUCCUCGCUGUCCCGCCA
rnacentral:tRNA from 1 species